GUGCAGCAGGCGAGAAACCUCCGCAAUACACGAAAGUGUGACGGGGCCAUCCCGAGUGCCGUCCGCUGAGGACGGCUUUUUCCCCAGUGUACACAGCUGGGGGAAUAAGGAGAGGGCAAGCCUGGUGUCAGCCGCCGCGGUAAUACCAGCUCUCCGAGUGGUGGGGACGCUUAUUGGGCCUAAAGCAUCCGUAGCCGGCUGGGCAAGUCCUCCGUUAAAUCCAACGAUUCAAUCGUUGGGCUGCGGGGGAUACUGUCCAGCUUGGGGGCGGAGAGGCCGACGGUAUUCCCGGGGUAGGGGUGAAAUCCUAUAACUCCCGGGAGACCACCAGUGGCGAAGGCUGUCGGCUAGAACGCGCCCGACGGUGAGGGAUGAAAGCUGGGGGAGCGAACCGGAUUAGAUACCCCUGUA
rnacentral:rRNA from 1 species